CCUACGGGAGGCAGCAGUGAGGAAUAUUGGUCAAUGGACGAGAGUCUGAACCAGCCAAGUAGCGUGAAGGAUGACUGCCCUAUGGGUUGUAAACUUCUUUUAUAUGGGAAUAAAAUGUUCCACGUGUGGGAUUUUGUAUGUACCAUAUGCAUAAGGAUCGGCUAACUCCGUGCCAGCAGCCGCGGUAAUACGGAGGAUCCGAGCGUUAUCCGGAUUUCUUGGGUUUAAAGGGAGCGUAGGUGGAUUGUUAAGUCAGUUGUGAAAGUUUGCGGCUCAACCGUAAAAUUGCAGUUGAAACUGGCAGUCUUGAGUACAGUAGAGGUGGGCGGAAUUCGUGGUGUAGCGGUGAAAUGCUUAGAUAUCACGAAGAACUCCGAUUGCGAAGGCAGCUCACUGGACUGCAACUGACACUGAGGCUCGAAAGUGUGGGUAUCAAACAGGAUUAGAUACCCGGGUAGUC
rnacentral:rRNA from 1 species